UACGUAGGGGGCAAGCGUUGUCCGGAAUCAUUGGGCGUAAAGAGCGUGUAGGCGGCCCGAUAAGUCCGCUGUGAAAGUCCAGGGCUCAACCCUGGGAUGCCGGUGGAUACUGUCGGGCUCGAGUCCGGAAGAGGAGUGUGGAAUUCCUGGUGUAGCGGUGAAAUGCGCAGAUAUCAGGAGGAACACCAAUGGCGAAGGCAGCACUCUGGGACGUGACUGACGCUGAGACGCGAAAGCUAGGGUAGCAAACGGG
rnacentral:rRNA from 1 species